AAUGUGUGUGUGUGUGUGUGUGUAUAAUGUGUGUGUGUGUUUUCAGAGUGUGUCUCAGAGAAGAGGAACUCUGUGUUUUAACUGUUUGACUGAAACAACGACUCUGUGGAGGAGAAACUCAUCAGGAGAACCAGUCUGCAACGCCUGUGGCCUCUACUACACACUACACAAGGUCAACCGGCCGCUGGCGAUGAAGAGAGACGGAAUCCAAACCAGAAACCGUAAAGUGACCAAUAAGAAGAAGAGGAGCAGGAAAUCCGACCAAUCAGAGACUAAGCUGUCCACACCGGUCCCCUUUCUGACCUCUGCUUCCUCCUCUUCUUCUUCGUCUUCAACCCUUGUGAUGGCUCCCCGUCAAACAUGAAAAAAACACUUUUUGUUGUCCAUAUCUCAACGUUUUUGUUACUUUUUAAAAAAAAAAAUAUUUUUUGUGCGUUUUGGUCACUUUUUCCCACAUUUUUAUAGCUUUUUCUAAUGGUUGUAUCCCUUUUUGUCGCUUUUUUGCAACAUUUUUGACACUUUUCCCAAAGUUUUAGGCGCUUAUUUCGACGUCCCAUAUGUCUGAUAUAAAAUAAACUUUGAAAACGGGUCAGAUUUGACCCAAAGACAACAUGAGGGUUAAUAAACUUAUAAAUAUAUCUUCCUGUGAACUGAUUUUUUUUACUUAAAUAAAGUUUUUGACUGUU